ACCUUGUGAUCCACCCACCUCGGCCCCCCAAAGUGCUGGGAUUACGGGUGUAAGCCACUGCACCCGACCCAAUCUAUAAUUUUUUACUGAAUGGUUUGAAAGUUACAUACAUAAUGCCCUUUUAUUUUUAAUUUCAGUACAGUUUCACCUUCUUUUCAAGUGCAUGUGCAAAUAAUCCAUUGCAGAAAAGUCUACCAUUGUUGAUUAAGACUCUAAGGCAGCAAAUACUUUCACUGAUAUCUGUAAAGAGUCGUUGUGGCAAACACUCAUUUUCUGGUGACCACAAACUUAAGGUAACCUGAUAUUUACCUCCUGAUCUUUUGUUUCUCAUUUGAAGAUGGGCAUAAUAGUGAAUACCAUUUAUAACUUGCUUACUUUGUGCUGGGCAAUUAUAAAUGUUACUUCACUUAGCCCUACAAUAAAUGUUCAAAGUAGACAUUAUGAAGUAAGUAUAUGAACAAAGGAUGGAGAGAAAUGAAGUAAGUGGCGCUUAGUGUCAUUUUAGAUAAGACAAUCAGAAAAGACCUUCCUGAAAACAUGACAUCUAAAGGAAGAAUUCUGAUUCUGUUGGGGGAAAAAAAAAUUCCUGGUUCCCACAGUAAUUUUAUCAGUUAGAAACUACACACAACUAUCAGCAACAGAAACUCAAUUUCAGAAAUUCAAAGAAAUUAGAAGUUCUUUUUCUCAUAUGUAGAGAAAAUUCAGAGGUAGGCAGUUCUGGUCUAUUUUAUUAACUCUACAAUCAUCAGGAACUUAGUCUCCUGUAUUUUCAUUAUACAUUCUUAGUGCAUGCUUUCAGUCCUAAAAUUAGCCUUAUGUCUAAGAUGGCUGCUGGACCUCCAGUUAUUAUAUUUACAUUCUACACAGGCAGUAAAAGGAAAGAUAAAAGGUCAUAUAUCCCUAAGCAGCUCCCUAAUUCAGCUGGCUUAUUUUAAGUGUUACCUAAAGACUUCUGCCUUCAUGUCAUUAACUGAGGUAAGAUUGAAAAUGUGGGCUUUAGCUAGUAGCAAAUCCAUCCAGAAAAAAAUUAGGAGUCGAUUGGUGGAAAGGGGAGGAUGAUACUGUGUGAGGAGUUAUCAGUCUUUGAUUCAGAGAAGUGAAAAAAAAUUGGAUUCUGUCUUAGUUUGAAUUCACCCAAAAACAGGACCUGAGACUAGUUUAUUUGAGAGGUGAUCUUGGGAAGUAAAGGAAUUGGAAAAUGAGAACACAGUUGCCAGAUCCAGCAAAUAACAAUAUAGAAAGCCCAGUAAAUUUAAAAUUCUGAUAAAAAACCAGUAACUUUUUAGUACAAAUAUGUCCCAAACCUUGCAUGAGAAAUACUUAUACUAAAUAAAUUUUCCACUGUUUAUCUGAAAUUCAGACUGAGCUGGGUUUCCUGGCAGCCCUAGCAGGGAGAAAAGCCAGUGAAGGGUACAAUAAUAAAUAGGUUAUCAGUGUGGACAAAUGAGGUUCCGACUUGGCUGGGCACCUUCUGAGAAACCAUAUAAAAUGUAUCUUAGAAUUGAGCUUCAGCAGGACAGAGAGCCUGGGGCAUUUUUCCAUGGACUCCCAUCACAAGGGCAGCAGUAACAAGUCUUUGGCUCUUCAGAAUUGUUCUGACUUGUGGCUAAGCAAGCCCAUUCUGCUAGGGAAGGAAGCACUCCAGCAAGGAAACAGAGAGAAGCAGGCAUUUAAAGUGGGAAGCAUUCCACGGGGUACCUGAAACUGCCCACCACAGGGGCAAGGAAUUCAGAAGUCAGCCCCGGGGACAUGCCGCAGGUUACCAACAGAGUCAGCUAGUGUUUCUUUUCAUUCGCUCUCUUGCUUUACUUCUUGCUCACAAAGCAACUCUGUGAUUGUCAUAUGGCUUCCUAAAUGUUACAGAGAGAGAGUGGCUCAGGACUAAGGCCUUCAGCCUUGUCAUCCAUCUGUGACUUUCAAUAUGUAGGAAUCAAUGAGCAUUCUGCUCUUUUAUAUUAGCCAUGGGAGCUCAGUCAAUGUAGCUGCUCCUAAGAAAUGUGUUUACUUUUAGGGUGCUGACAAUGUAUGUGUCUGGACCAGUAAGACUGUGGAACAGGCCUCCAGACAGUGCCAAGAUGCUGUUACAAGGAAUGGUAUCCUCUGGAGCCUCCUGAGAUAGCAGGCUUUCUCCUCACAGUCCUGCAACCUUGGAAUGAUAUUUCAAUGGUUGAGUCACAUUUCCUCUAUUUUGGAUUUUUACAAUCUUUAUUUUCCAGAUGGGCAAGUUGAAUUUCUGGUGCGGACACUGCCCCACUAAAAGCUCAUUUUGUGUGAAUUAUUAGGUAAAGGCUUUGACUUUAAACUUUAAAUCAUUCUUAGCUUAAUGAAAAGCACCUGGUAAUUAUAUAUUCCUUUAUAUUUACAGAGUGGGGUCUUGGAUUGAUUCAAAGGGAGCUCACAUUUCUUAGCAGAGUUUAAUUAGCAACAGAAAAAGCAUGAAGCUUCUUUCUUUCAGACCUGUGUCUAGCUCUAGUAGCUACUACAAAGCGCUCUGGGGUACGGUGUGAAAUCAGAAUGUUUUGUCUUCUUCUUGGAAUGGAUAAUUCAGGAGCUAGAGAAAGCUAUGCUUUAAUACAUAAAUAUGCUCGAGUUAUAGUUUUAAAAUUUGAUUAGAAUAUGUGUUAGCCUAGGUUCUUCAAGAAGCAGAUCUACGUGUCCUAUUUCACUUGCCUUGCCUCCUUCACUCUGUUGCAGGUUUUACCCCCAAAGUACUCCCUCUGUAAAUUACCUGGCAAGAAUCCUAAGGCAAGCUCUGAAACAGGAUGAGCAACAAGGCACCAUCUUUGAAGCAAGAAACAGUCCCUUGCCAGACACCGAAUCUGCUAGCACCUUACUCUUGGACUUCCUCAACUGUGAACAAUACAUUUCUGUUGUUAACAAAUUACCCAUUGUAAGAUAUUUUGCUAUAGCAGCCAAAACAGACUAAAACAAUUUGAUUUUCUAGUUAUUCUUUCACAACCCAGAUUCUAAAUGGUGACCCGCCUCUAUACACAUACGUUUGCAUGUUGGAGUGUGUUAUGACCUCCACAUAGAUCUGAAUACUUCUACUUGUUUUUCAGUAGUUCAUGCUUAUGGAAUUCUUAAGGGACCUGUGGAGACAAAUACAAAUCAGACAGGAAUGUGGGUGCUCACUGUUUUGAAAUUAAGCACCAAAAAUACUCUGUCAGGUGCCUUGUGUAAAAUAUUUGUAUGUCUUAUCAAUGUCACCUUCAGUGUUAUAGCCGGAGUAUUUCUUAAAUUAAUUAUCUUAUCUGAUUUUCACUGUAGCCCUGGGAGGUGGGUCAUUGCCCCCAUUUCGCAGAUAAUGACACAGAUAUAGGAAAGGUGACAUGCCCAAAGCAUCAGUGCUAGAUAGUGACUGAGCUAGAGCUGACCUUCAGGCACCUGAAUCUGUUACCAGAACAUGCACCCUGUAGACACAGUUAUACCCUCUUUGAAGUUAAGCUGAAGUGAACAAGACCACGUGUUAGAAUAGUCACAGUCACCCACUGCUUCUAAUCAGAUACAUGUAUGUUUCCUUUCUGGAUUCUAAAUCACUAGGGAAUACUAAAAGUAUAGAAAUUCCAACAUGUACUUACAAAACCCUCUGUUGGGGGAAUCUGAAUCCACCUGAGCAGGAAUGGGAGACACCUGUGAAACUAUCACAUGAAAGCGCUGAGAAGAGUGGAUUGGUAGAACUAGUCCAGGCUUUGGAAUUCACAAACCUGGGGCUGGACUUUGGGCUUGCUCAUUCCUGACUCUGUGGCCUCUGUGGACAAGCGGUCUAGGGGGAAGAAGAUACUUUUUGGGUCACCAAGUGGGACUACAACAGCAAACAAACAAAACAAAACAACAAGACUCGAUGUUACAUAUGUAGCAGCUUUUCAUGUCACCUUAUCAGGAUGACUAUUGACCACCUGGCAAGAGACUAUUCUCUUUCUCGUGGGACUCUAUAGACAUGUCCUGACCCAUUGGAACCACUGCUCAAACUGCAGGGAUAAGACACGGACAGAGUCUGUGAUUGUCAAGGACCCAAGAAGAUACUGUUUUUUGAAGAAAUUAUAGAAAUAUCUGCAAUCACUUGGUAUUUGGUAGACUCCAUUAUUGGAGUUCUAUUAAUACAUGUGUUUGGACUGCAGGAAAAGGUUAUUCUUUCCAUUCUCACCAUGCCCCCAUAGCAUAUUAUUUAUAAUAAUAUUUUAAAGAGUCUUAUACUUCAGUUUGUUUUAUUUUUAUUUUUUCAUGUGGGCCACUGAUGCAUAGAAAAUAACUUUACUGCUAAAUAAAUGUUCUUUGGAAAUGAUAAAUCACUAAUGUACUCAAAAAUAUGUUGUAUUGUGGCAGGGAUUGCAACUACUGUGAUUAUUGCAGUAUCAUAUGCUAUACCUAAUACUUCUGUUAAGUUUCCAUUUGACAGCUGAGCAAAAGAGAAAAGAACGAGUGAUAGAUGUUGCAUCUCCAGCAGAAACCGUACAAUCUUGAGAAUUGAAGAUUAGAAGCCAAGAGACUUUGGUCCUAAUGAAAGUGUCCUUGACAAUGUCCCCAUAUCUCAGUUUCUCCACUCUGAGAAGAUUUAUGACAUAGCAGCAUUGACACAUUAUGAGGGCAAGUGUGAAAUAUCUGUGGUUCUCCUUUCCUUAAUACUUCUCCUUUCAUUUCCUUCCAGUUUGCAUUGAGUGACAACCAAGGAAGGACCCUAAGAGACAGGGAGGACAGGGGUUGGGGUGGAGGUGACAUUGCUUUUCCUUCUUUCAUACUCUGAGUUCUGCUUUACCCUUUCAUUAUCUUCUUUUCUCUGGUAUUACUCUCUUCUUUGUGCACCCCGUAUGUCUCACAAGUACUUUUUCAUUUACCAGUAUCAUGC